AUUUUCUAGUAGGUCAGCUAAUAAAGCUAUCGGGCCCAUACCCCGAAAAUGAUGGUUCAACUCCUUCCCUUGCUA
rnacentral:tRNA from 1 species